UCUUCCUGGUUAGGAGUGUCAUCCCUUGCCUGAUGUUGAACAUUUGUAGUUGAUACAUGAGUUGAUUAACACCAUUUAAAAAUUCAUCUUCAACCUCAGAUUGCUCUGUGGGAGAGAUUCAUGUGUGUGGUAUUGACUUAAUCCAUUGAUUUGGCCAGUGAGCUAGGGGAGGAGGCAAAGACUCUGCACUAUCAUUGCAUGUCCUCCAUAAUGUGUUUAACUCAUAAGUAGCCCGUCUGGGAAAGAUGUAAGGUGAUGGUAUUUCACAUUCUCCAGUGUAAGCGCCGAUAGCUCAGUCUACAUGUCAAGUGAAGGGAUUGGUAAGUGUUGAAGCCAACAUCCGGUUAUUAUGUGCUCAGCAGAGCAGUUUGCAUCUCAUGUGUCUUUAGUAAAUACUAAGGUCUGAACAACUUUUUGUACAUAGGAAUUUAAACUGUUAUAAUAAUUUUAUUUGGGCUAGGAAUGUAGCUCAGUGGUAGAAUCUGCACUUGUAAUAUGCAAGGCUCUGGGUUCAUCAACCCCUAGUACCAAAAUCCAAAAGUUUUAUCUUAUUUUUCAAAGAAAAAUUUUUACUUUUCUCAGUUAAGACUAGUUGUACCCGGUGGUGCGUGUGUCAGUUACUCUUUUCUUCCUUUCUGAUUAUUUAUCAAUUUUUUUUUUGACUGUUGUGUACUAGAUACUAUGGUAAGUGCUAAGAAUUCAGUGGUGAAUAAAAGAAUUCCUGGCCCCAUAAGAUUUUACAGGCUUGUAGGGACUGAAGUCAGCCCUCACAUAGGAAAUAGAAUAUAAGUGCUAGAGGAUCAGAUAGCUUAAACUGCUGUGGGAGCAUCAGGACAAUAGCCAUUGUGGUUGUGGGUCUUGGGAUGUUUCUACUAGGAGUCAGUACAGCCUGAAGCCUAAAGGGUGACAGAUAACUCUUCUGUAUGAAGUCUGCCUGUGGCAGAACAGGAGUGCUUGUGAAAAAGAAAAACCAGAGAUCUGUUUCCUGACAGUUGUCUUCAGUAGAUGCAUAAGUAGAGUUUGAAGUAGAAUUAGUCAUAGAGAUGCCAGCAGGUGAUGAGGCAAGGGUGUUUAAAGCUGGUGUUCUAACCAAGAACUGUAAAAAUCUCUGAUUUUUAAUCUAAUUGCCAAUAGUUACCUUCUAUUCUGGUAUAUAAUUUUCCUUCUUUUCAUUCCUAACUUUGAUUAUACUUUUAUUCUUUCACUAAUGGGAAAUAAUAUUUUUCAUGGGUACUGUUGAAAGCACUGGGAAUGCAAUGGAGAAGCAAAUGAAGCUUCAGAAGAAUAGAGAUAAGAGCCAUGGUGAGAAUAAGUGUUCUGUGAUGACCAAGUGGCUGAUGAGACUGAGGCCACAUGUAAGGGAAGAUGUCACUUCUCUUAGUCUAGACAGGAACACCAAGAUGGUCCCGUCUGUGUUAAGGACUGGAGCAGAGGAGCGCAAGUAGCAAAGGCUUCACGGUGGUAAAGAGAUGACUGGCAUCUAGUGGGUGGUGGAGGGUGGUGGUGGGGAUGGAGUCCAGCAAGACAGGGAGGAUUCAGUGUGGGCCUGGACAGAGCUGGGAUAGAAAUGCCAGGUUGUUGGAGAGACUUUUUUUUUAGCCAAAGAGAAGACAGGGUUUAAUUUGUAUUUUAAAGAUUGUUCUGUGUGGAAAUGAGUAAUUUAUGUAGGAUUGUAGGGUACAAGAACAGGGGAAACCAGGCAAGUGUAUUCUGGAAGUCUGCACCGAGGUUAUAGGUUGUUGAGUUUUAGGAUGGUGGUGAAGAAAGACAGUAGAUAAAUUUUUAUUUUGGAGGUAAGAGCAAUAGGACUAGAGUGUCUGUAAGAAACAGGGAGACUUAGAUUCUUGUCAGUGCAAUUGUGUGGGUGCUAACAUUGCUACUUACUAAAAUGGGAAUGACUGAGAAAGGCACAGGAUGGAUGGAGGAGUGGUGGCAAUCAAGAUUUCUGUUUUGGCAGUGUUAAAUUUAAGAUACACUUCGUCUAUACAAAUGGAGGUUAUAUGUAGGCAGUUGGAUAAAUGAGUUUGGAAUUCUGGAGAGACCAGUGCUGAUGUGUACAGUAAUAUUUGAAGCCAUGUAAGUAAGAUCACCUAGAGAGGGGUGGUAGAAAAUGGGGGAUGGACGGACUGAAAUCUGAGGCCUGCAGGUUGGAACAAACAUUCAAGAGUUCCAGUCAAAGUUAAGAAGGGACAAACGACUUUCUGAAACAUCUUGCAGAGAGGAAGUGGGGACACCAGAUAUGCUGUGGCAUCAACAGAAGAGAACAUUUACAGGAGGGAGGGUGGGAGUCAGAUGUUUUGAAUGUGUGGAAGAACAGAAAGGAGGGUCAGGUGGUGGCGGAGAAACACUGGUGAUUUAACAUGCAGGCAAAGCGACUUCAGGGUGCAGAGGAUGCAAAAAGUGGAAAGAGUCACUAGAACGGUUUUUGUUGUUUGUUUGUUUUCGGUGUUUUGAGACAGGGUUUCUCGGUAGCUUUGGAGCCUGUUCUGGAGCUCACACUGACUGGCUUCAGACUCACAAAGAUCCUCCUGAGUACUGGGAUUAAAGGCAUGUGCCACCACCACCCAGCUAUUAGAAUGUUUUUGAGAGACAUCUGAUAAAUAUUUUAAAAUCUAUGUGCAUACAGACUUAGCCUGAGGAGUAGCACUCUCUACAGCUUAGCCAUGUCUUACAGUUCCUAGAUUUGAACUUUAGUUUAAAAGUCUCUCAUUUUUCUGACUUAACAUUUAUGUCAUCCAGUAAUGGUGACCAGACUAAUUAAGGUAAGGACUCAACUGAUGGUUAGGAGUGUUGCUUGAGCAGUGGUCUAGGUAGGAAGUUUCUAAAGGACAUGGGUUCUAGGAAGGAAUACCUAACAUCUUUCCUUUUAUAAAUUUGAUUUUGUUAUAUAAAGAAUCCUGUUCUUAGCUGGGCGGUAGUGGCACACACCUUUAAUCCCAGCAUUUGGGGACAGAGACAGGUGGAUCUCUGAGUUUGAGCCAGCCUGGUCUACUGGGGACAGUACAGCCAGGGCUAUACAGAGAAACCCUGUCUCGAAAAACAAAUCAACAAACAAAUAAAUAAACAGCCCCCCAAAAGAAUCCUGCUUUUUUUUUUCCUCUUUUUUUUUUUUUUUUUUUUGACCAAUUUUGUCCUGACCUGUUUUUUGUUUUAUGAUUUCUUUUUAUUUGGCCUUUUUGUUGAGGUGGGUCUUGCUACAUAGUCCUGAAACUCACCAUGUUGGCCUUGAACGUGGGGGAUAUCCCUGAGUGCUGGGGGCCUACAGCCUGGGCAACCAUUUGCACCUGUUUGGAUUUUUUUUCUUUAUCAGAUGUUAUCAUAGAUUCUAGUUUUUAUAAUAUAAUGAUAUGCAGUAUGUAUAUACAUAUAAUCUCUAAUUUUAAGACAAGCAUUAAAAGUUUUAACAGCUGAUAGUUAAGAUUUGACUUUUUAAAAACAUGGAUCAAACAAUGUGAUAUCGAUAUUUAAAUAUAAUAGUCUUCCCUUAGUUCUGAUCAUCCUCUGUUCAAAAUAUGAAUGAAAAUAGGACAUUUCAUAAGAGAGCAAUUCAGAAAUUUGGUUUUUGAGAAAGGGUCUUAUGUAUCCCUGACUGUUCUGGAACUUGCUAUAUGGACCAGACUGACUUCAGACUCAGAUAUCCACCUGAGUCUGCCUCCUGAGUGCUUGGAUUAAAGGUGUGCGCCACCAUGCCCAGCCCAAUUCAGAUAUUUUUAGAUACAGAUCUAAGUGGCGUGGUAAAAAUCCUUAGUGUUGAGAAUGAGGCACAAAGGAUUUCUGUAUCCAGCAUGUUGAGGUUGUACGUGCUGCCCACCCGUUAGUCACUUAGUGACGUCAUCAGAUGACUGAAGCAUCUAUUUAGUGCUCAUGUUCCCGGAGCUUGAACUUAGUAAUAGCUGGCAGUUCAGAAAUCCCAACAAUAAGACGGAAAGUGCUUCCUUUAAGCGAAAGGGUGAAAAUUCUGAAGUUAAUAAGAAAAGUAAACUAUAUAGCAUGAAUAAUAAAAACCCAGAGACAGAUAUUGGGGUUCAGCCUGAAGGUCCAAAAAACAAAGCAGCCAAGCCACUAGAGAGUUCUUACCUCUAAGAGAUCUUUAGACUACCCAGGCGGUGGUGGUGCACGCCUUUAAUACCAGCACUUGGGAGGCAGAGGCAGGUGGAUCUUUGUGAGUUCGAGGCCAGCCUGGUCUACAAGAGCUAGUUCCAGGACAGGCUCCAAAGCUACAGAGAAACCUUGUCUUGAAAAACCAAAAAAAAAAAAAAAAAAAUUCCUCAGACUGAAAAAAAAAAUUAGUUCUGUCUCAUCCCAGUUUAUAUUCCUCUCUGGUGCUGGGAUUAAAGGCGUGCACCACAGUUGUCAGCCUCUAUGGCGCACUAGUGUGGUGACUGGGAUUAAAGGUGUGUGUGCCACCACUGCCUGGUCUGUAAGGCUGACCAGUGUGGCUGUUUUACUCUCUCAUCUUCAGACGAGCUUUACUUAUUAAAAUACAAAUGAAAUAUCACUACAGAAAGCUACAUGCUGAGUUUGUAAAGAUUAGCAAUAGGAGAGAAUCUUCUGUGAAAGUGUCAAAAAUGGAAAACAAAUUAAUCCUAGUGUUUCUGUCACACCUAAUCCUAGUGUUGCUGGCCACAGUGUGUUAGGUGUUAAGAUGGAUAGGCGUGCCUGGCCAACCAGAGUCCUGUGGUGAAACCUUGUCUCAAAAGCAAACAAGAGAUUAAGCACGUUUUAUAAGAAAAAUAGUAUAGCAGGUUGGUGGUAGCGCAUACCUUUAGGCCAGCCUGGUCCAGGGUUACAAAGAGAAACCCUGUCUUCAAAACCAAGAACCAAGAAAGAAAAAAAAGAAAAGAAGAAGCAGUAGAGGACUUACUUGAUGCUAUCAUAGAUCGCAGGCAUCCAUGGGAUCUUAGAAGUUUUUCCCACAGGUGAAAGCCACUCUACACAAUCCCCACAAACAGAAUAUGAAACCCAUAUGAACGUAUAGGAGCUGGUCUGCUACUAAUUAUAUGAAAUUGCUAUUACAGUGCAUAAAUAUACUAGUUUCCUAAUUUUAUUUAGACAGGAUCUCACUAUAUAUCCCUGGCUGUCCUGAAACUGCUAUGAAGACUAGACUGACUUUGAACUUGAAAUCACAAGAUCCACUUGCCUUUGCCUCUCCACUGCAUGGGUUAAAUGUGUACGCCACCAAGCCUGGCCCACAUUGGUUUUUUGUUUGCUUGUUUUUGUGGUCUGCCAGUCUUUAGUGAAUGUGUCUGGUAAACAUUCACUCGUUCAGAGGAGAAAACUACUUUAUUUGGAGUCAUCUCUCCUAUUUCCUUUCUUUUCUCUACCUCUUUCUCUUGUCAUAUGGAUAUGAGAAUAGGAUUUUAUGUGAGAGCCCAUACUCUCUUUUCAUUGCUAAUAAUCUCUCCCUCUCCCCCAAAGAAAUGCCUCUGGGUGCUAUAUCUUUUAUUUUUGUUUUGUUUUGA